rnacentral:lncRNA from 1 species
AAUACAACAACAACAACAACAACAAACCCAGUGUAUUCCCACUUAGUGGGGUCUGGGGGGGUAAGAUGUACGCAGUCCAUACCUCUACCUCUGAUGAAGUAGAAAGGCUGUUUCCGAAAGACCCCCGGCUCAAGUCACGAGAUAUCACACAAACACAUAGUACAGCACAGAAGCAGAUGACAUAACAUAGAUACGGCACCCAUAAGGAAUAUAAAACAGAGUAAAGAAGGAAUGCAAGAAUAUAAAGCAGAGGAAAGCACCCAGAUUCGUAAUAAACAUGGAACACGGAACACGAAACACUGAAUACAGAAUCAUAACAGGAAUACACCCCCACCAAUUAAUUCCCUACACUAGCGACCCGAACUGGCCCUAAUCCUCUGCCGUAAUUCGCAUCUUCCAGACCUUCCUAUCGAGGUUCAUGUCCUCGGUGAGCUGUAACUGUUCCAUGUCCCGCCUAAUCACCUCACCCCAGUACUUCUUCGGUCUACCCCUACCCCAUCUAAAACCAUCCAACGCUAGCCUCUCACACCUACGGACCGGGGCAUCCAUGCCCCUCCUCUUCACGUGUCCGAACCAUCUCAAUCGUGCUUCCCGCAUCUUACACUCCACUGAAGUCACACCAACCUUCUCCCGGAUAGUCUCAUUCCGAACUCUAUCCCCUCGAGUCAGUCCACACAUCCAGCGCAACAUCCGCAUUUCUGCCACCUUCAUUUUUUGGAUGUGGGAGUUCUUAACUGGCCAACACUCCGCUCCAUACAGCAAGGCCGGACGGACUACCACCCUAUAGAAUUUGCCUUUAAGCUUGGGCGGCACCUUCUUAUCACACAGCACCCCCGAUGCGAGUUUCCACUUCAUCCAUCCCGCCCCAAUACGGUGCGAGACAUCCUCGUCAAUCUCACCGUUACUCUGGAUCACGGACCCGAGAUACUUGAACUUAUCCCUCUUCCCUACCUCCUGUGCUUCUAGCCUCACUACUACCUCAUUCUCCCGCCUCACGUCAUUAAACUUACAUUCCACAUACUCUGUCUUGGUUCUGCUCACCCUGAACCCUUUAGACUCCAGAGUUUGCCUCCACAACUCUAAUUUGUCAUUCACACCCCCUCGAGUCUCAUCUAUCAGGACUACAUCGUCUGCAAAAAGCAUACACCACGGCACCUCCCCUUGGAUACGCCGCGUCAACACAUCCAUUACUAACGCAAACAAAAAGGGACUAAGAGUAGAUCCCUGAUGCAAUCCUGUCAGGACAGUGAAAUGCUCUGAGUCUCCUCCCGCCGUCCUCACCUGGGUUUUCGCUCCCUCAUACAUAUCCUUAAUUACUCUGAUAUAUGCCUGCGGUACUCCACUCACCUCCAAGCAUCUCCAAAGCACUUCCCUGGGGACUUUGUCGUACGCCUUUUCCAGGUCGAUGAACACCAUGUGCAGAUCCUUCUUCCUCUCCCUAUACUGCUCCACCAACCUCCGUACCAGGUGGAUUGCCUCCGUCGUCGAGCGGCCGGGCAUAAAUCCGAACUGGUUUUCCGAAAUAGACACUAUCCGUCUCAGCCUCACCUCGACCACUCUCUCCCAUAUCUUCAUAGAGUGACUCAGUAACUUAAUCCCCCUAUAGUUAUUGCAACACUGAAUGUCCCCCUUAUUCUUAUAGAGGGGGAUCAUGGUACUCCACCUCCACGCCUCGGGCAUCUUUGCCGUCCUGAAAAUUUCAUUGAACAAUGCAGUCAACCACCUUACACCAGCCUCUCCAACGAACUUCCAAAACUCCACCGGUAUCUCAUCCGGCCCCGUCGCCCUACCCCUUCGCAUCCUGCGGACUGCCUGUCUAACCUCGUCUACCUUAAAACGUCUACAAUAGCUAAAAUCCCGACACUCCCCUGAGUGCUCCAGUUCCCCUAACACAAUAGCUCUGUCCCCCUCGUCAUUCAAGAGCCUAUGAAAGUACGACUGCCAUCUCUUCUUUAUGUGGCCGUCCUCCACCAACACUCUACCGUCCUCCCCCUUAAUGCACCUCACCUGAUCGAGGUCACGACCCUUCCUCUCCCUAGCCUUAGCGAGUCGGAACAACUUUUUCUCCCCUCCUUUCCUCUGUAACCCUGCAUACAAGCUCUCAAAAGCGGCCGUCUUAGCUGCCGUGACCGCUGACUUCGCCUCCUUCCUCGCUAGCUUGUACUCUUUCCUGUUUACCCGCUUAUCGAUUGCUACACUUGUUAUGCACAUUUGUUAUUCUGCUUUCCCUUCGCUCGUACUUCUUUGGUUUUUUGAGCCGAGGGUCUAUCAGAAACAGCUUCUCUACUCCGGAAAGGUAAUGGUAAGGUCUGUGUACAUCCUACACUCCUCAAAACCCACGUCUGGGAUUACCCUAGGCAUGUUGUUGUGUUAUUACUGAAGUUCGAGGACACUAUAGCUCUCAUUGAAAGCUUUAGAGGCAGAUAAUUAAUUAAGAUAGUCUCACAGAGAGAUUAGACAACUGGAAAGACAGCAUAAGUAUAACCAAGAGUUGAAUUUCCUGGCACCUACCCUUGCAUACCAUUCAUGCUUGAUGAAGUGAUACUCGGUCCUGAGGAAUGCAAACUGAAUUGUCCGAAGGACUCCGCUGCUACAGAGAAAAACAUAAAGAGCAUUAAAAGAUUGACUAAAUAAAAACAAGUGAUCAUUCAAAACUCUAGUUAUCUACGGGAGAAACAUAACAAGGUUUGCGAUAUUUCGAGGUCUGAUAGACCAUUUAUAUGUUAAAUAUAGCACUUAACACAAUGAUCAAGCAUUAGAAUACAAAGGUAAGAAAGGAGCUUUUUGUCCACUUUGCUUUCGGAUAAGCUUCAACUGAGUUUACAAAAUCAUCCAGAACUUACCAAUAUUCUCUCUGUUUUGUUCUGCUGCAUUUUGUUUCUUUGCCUGCUGUCCAAGUCUAUACUUCUGCAGCACAAAAAAGGGAACAAAACCGCCUAAUGAGUUUUCGACUGGGGAAAAAACGUUGAUGAUUAGAGAUGCAGAAGCGUGACUCUACCUGCAAAUGACUCUUGAGAUGAUAGAGUGUCAAGCCCUUCAAUCCCAUUAACCUUAGUACUGACUUGGGAGUUGCUUCUGCAGAUUCAAGGCCUCUUAUCAAACAUUGCAGACUCUAAAAUAGAAACCACAAAUCCACCACAUUGUUUAAUACAUUAACACAAGCGAGAAAGUAAACCACAAAUCCCCGUCCCUGUGAAACUUAAGGGAAGAACGUAAUCUAGCAUCCGCUCUUAUCUUAAUUGUACGUAGAUAUCCAACUACUAAUUCUAUGAUCCAUUGAAGACAGACAAAGCCAGUCAUAGUUAGUUUAUACAUCACGAGGGAUCAUUUAAGAUGUAACAUACUUGGAAUAAAUUACACAAGGAGGUAACAGAGGACCUAAUCAGCCAUGACACUAUAACGAUCAACUUAUUUAAAAUACAUGACCACAUCGAUAUUGAUUAUAGAGGUUAAUAAAAAUGGAAGCUAUUUAUGGAAAAAGUUUGGAAAGUUUGCAGAACAAUAUAAGUACACCCACUUCAUUAGGACAUUGGCAGCUCACACAAGACUUUGGUUUCAAAUUAUGAUACAAUUUUGGGGCACCUUUCUACUUUUUUCCUCCAUCUUUUUUUACUUAAAAGGAAAUAAAUAGCUUCAAAAGGCAAGCAGCCAAUUUAUCUCCAAGUAAGCUUGAUCAAUCAACCAACAAAAGUAUCAAAAAAGAAGUAAGAAUCCCCAAGAAAUGGAAGGACAUAUGCAUGAUAAAUCAAUAUAUGCCAAAUAAAACUUAUAAUGACACUAACACAAUGUAAAAGUCUAUCACCCAUUUGGCCAUUUAUCCACUUUAUAUUAGUAAUAAUCACAAAAUUUAGAAGCAACAACAACAAUUACUUUACAUUAAUCCUAAACCAGUUGGGGUCGGCAUAUGAAUCCUCAUUAUCCAAUUUUCUCUAUUACUUAUCUCAUCAGUGUUCUUUGGGCCAGUUUGUGUGUAACUUGACUAAUUCGACAGGUAGAUAACUCAGUCCAGUUACAACUAGGCCACAUCAUUGGUUAGCUAUUACUGAUAUCACUAUACUCCCUCACUUGACACAGAGUUUAAGAAAAAGUCUACUUUAAAACCUAUGGUCUUUAAACAUCCUCCUGAACCAAAAAAAAAAAAAAGAAGGUAAAAAGUCAUUCUUUUUAAAUGGAAUUAUAAGUAAAGCAAGACAAACAAAGUGAAUAUAAGAAACAGAAAACAAAAUGUAAGAAAAAGAGGAACUGACUAUCAGGUCCACCAAGCUUAGUGACAGCAUCAACAAAACGAUCAUGUAAAUCAGCAGUCCACCUUAAUCUUGGCUUUGGGUCCCUUGUCAUCACCACUCCAUUUUCAUAACCAUCUCCACCACCAUUAUACAUCCUAUCCAUCACACCUCCAAAUUCCUCAAAACUCCUCCAAUAAUCACAACAAAACUCUAUCUUUAAACACCCCAAAGGCUUCAAAAAUGUAUAGAAAAAAGAACCAAGAAAGUUUAUCAAGUAGAAAAAUGACUAGUUUCAAGAAUUCCCAAGUGGAAAAGGAAGCAAAUGAUCAACAAAAAUUGAAUCUUUUUUUUAUUUUUUAUUUUUUAUUUUUUUUGGUGAUAAAGAGUCGAAUGGACUUCAAUAGAGGUAAAUUUUUGCUUUCAUAAUAAUCCGUACAUGCAGAGGUGAUUAAAAAAAAUAAUACAGGGGAAAAGGGAAUCAAUUUUGAUAAAAUAAAAAGAACACGGAGAGGAAAGAUCGGCGUGGAAUCUGAAGAAACAUAUGAUAUGACCGCCGAAAAUUUAUUCUUUCUUAUAAUAAGUUGAUUUUUAAUUUAUUUGUCAUAUUUUAAUUUAGAUAUUGAGUUUAAUAAAGUACUCCUUUUAUUCCUUUUUACUGUUACAUUUGAAAAAUUAUUUGUACAAUAAGUAAUUGAUGGUAAGAAUAUAAUAUGAAAAAAAUAAUUAUUUUUUUAGUACAUUAAAAAUAAUGAAUAAAUUUAAGGAUCUAUCUUUAUGACAAAGAAUAAAUAAAAAUAAAUAGAGAGGUAUUGAUUUUUCCAAUUUAAACUUGCGAUGAGUUUACCAAAGUGAAGAUAAUUUUGAAUUUUCUCGUGCUAUAUAUGUUACUUAAAAAUUUAAAAUUAAAGAAUUAAUGAGAAAGAAACGCUGCAUUUUUUUUGAAAUGGAUAAGAAAAGUAUGACACAGAGUGUUUGAAAUUAAAGAGUAAUAGAAUUAUUGUUGCGGAAUUAAAAGAUUAGAAGCUCGAGCCAUUUUGUAUUUUGUAUUAUAAAAAUAUCAAGUAUUUUGUAUUAUAAAAAUAUCAAGUAAAGUUGCCUAUAAUACAUCUUUGCGGCCAACGCAUAACAAUAAAUUAAUACUCUCUUCAUCCAAUAAUGUUUGUUCAAUUUAAAAAUUAAUGCAUACUUAAUAUUUUGCUACCAAUAUUCCUCUUGCUAAACACUCCAUUCGUUCCAUUUAUGUGAAUAAUUUUUUUUUAAUUCGUCUCAAAAAGAAUGUCAUUUUAUUAUAGCUAUUCCCUCCGUUUCGUUUUAGUUGAUCCUUUUUCUAAAGAAAAUUUAUUUCAAUUUACUUAUUCAAGUUAUAAAAUCAAGACUAUUUUACAUAUAUUCUUCUUAUUCUAUCCUUGAUAGUAUUAAAUAUAACCACACUUUCUAAAAUUUUUUAAAAUAACAUUUUUAUAUUUUCAAUACUACCUUUAUGAGACUUUACUUUUUUUCUUCUUUUCAAGAGUACUAUUACUAUUCCUAUAAGAAGAUAUCAUACGCACACCACUUCUUUUCAAUACUACUACUAUUCCUAUAAGUGUAUUAUUCCUUUUGUACUUUUCAGUUUUCACUUAUUCCAUAUAGUAUAAUUCAAAAAAGGAGUAUUUUUUUAAAUAUUUUUUAAUCAAAUUUUCUAUUUUGAUUAGUACGAGUAUAUUUGAAAUAUGGAGAUUGAUAUGCAAAACACAUCUAUUGUUCAUUUACGAAAGUUGAAGAUUCGACGAAGAUUAUAGUUGAUGAUUCAAUAAAAAAGAUUGAGAAUUUUAAUUUGAACGUCAAAGAUUGUGGGUUCGACUUAAAUAAAUUUUCGGUAGAAAGAGAGGAAGGAUUUGAAGACGCAAAAUUAGAAAAGACGUAUGCAAAAUCUUACAAUGUCAAAGACUGUGGGUUUGACUUAAUGAUGCAUUUUUUUUUAAAUACCUCGUACCUUAAAAGCAUGGAAGGCUAUAUCUCCACCGUAUGGCAAGGGGUUAAAACACCACAAAUUUUAGCUCAUGAUGAGGGGUAUUUUAUAUUCUGAUUUGAAUCCCAAGAGGACUGUGAUAGUAGCUUAGAUGGAGGAUCGUAUACCUUCCAUAACAAGCCGUUUAUUAUACGAGAAUGGAAACUGAAUUUUGAGUUUCAACCAAAUUGUCUCACCACGAUCUCAUUAUGGAUAACAUUGCCUGGGUUACCUGUGGGUUACUGGUCCACAGAAGCUUUGAGCAAAAUUAUGAGUGUUGUAGGGAGGCCUCUAUACACGGACGGGAUCACAGCGGGGAUGCAAAGAAUCUCUUAUGCGAGAAUCUUGGUAGAGGUUGAUGUCUCACAGCCUCUUGUUGAAAUGGUAACCCUGAAUACACCUGGGGUGAAUUUCAACAACGGGUUGACUAUGAAUGAAAACCCCGAUAUUGCUACUAUUGUAUGAAAUUUAGGCAUGUCGAGGAACAUUGUUGGAUUAAAGAAGAACAAGAGCCAAAGGAGCAACAGAUCCCAGAUAGACCUCGAAGAAGAAGAAGAAGAAGAAAUCAUAGACCGAGACCAUGCCAAGAUGGCUGCCUAAAGAUUUAGAUGAGGAAAGGAUAGAAAAACUCCCGCAGCAUAAAGGUCAGUCUUUUAUACAAGAGAAGACUAGGAAUUCACGAAAUGGACACAUAAGAAGCAAAAAUCAGCAAGCAAAAACAACACAAAAGAAAAGGGAUGAAGAAGAAGAUUGCAUAAACGUAAAGAUAGAUAGAAAGACCCUUACUUCUACCAAGUGAUUAACAAAAGAUGGUGUAUCAAACCAUCAAUCAAACCUCACCAAUAAAAGCUCAAACCUUCCUCUUAGGCGGACCAAAGGAAUUCACACUUCUCAAAACCCACCUUUCUUGCCAAUUUGUCAACACAAGUGAAAUCCAUCAAAUGUGCUAACCCUAAUUCAGUUUCUCUCUCUUAAGGAUAAGGAGAAUACUACAAGCUAACACUAAUAUUACAAUCUGAAAAUUCACUCAAUUCAUUAUGUCAAAACUUAGGAAAAAUAAGAGCUAAGGUGUCUAUUUAUACUUAUUACAAACAAGGACAAAAAUACCCUUAAUGAAGGAUGCUUCUUUGGAGUGUAAAAAGGGAGUCUUAAAAGACAACAAUAGCCCUAAAAUGGGGCGCCUCUUGAGUGUCAAAUCAUAGUGUGCAAAGUCCAUUUUGUCCUUCAAGUGAGGCGCAUCUCGAGUGUAAUGAUUCCCUUCUCCUCCUUCCACUUGAUAAGGCUUUAAAAUGCUUCAAACACUUGCCAAUUCUGAAGUUUGAACCUUUGAAAAUGCCUUGUACAAUUUUGUGCACCUCAUGCUUGUAUCAUCCUCUCCAUCUUAGUGGAAUUUGUCCUCAAAUUCUGAUCCUAUAAAAUCAAAGAGAGAAGAAAAUAAGCACACAAUCCUCUUGGUAGGAGGGUUAGAAUUAGUGCCAAAUUAUAUGAACACACCAAGGGGGCACACUCUUAGAAUAUAGCCAACAAUCCUUUGUAAUAAUCAUGAAACACUUACUAUAAGCAACACAAAGGACAUGAAUAAGAUAUGCAUCCAAGAGAGGAAAGUGCAACCCAAAAUCAUCACAUAUUUCAACACUCCAAGGUUGUUCACAUUUGAAAUACAACCACGGGUCCUUUGUGUGUGAAAUGAAAAGCUUAGCAUGAAUGACAUAAAGGAGGUGGUUUUGGAAAAUAUCAAAAGAUAAGGAAACUACAAUGGUCUUAACGAUUUUACUAUACCCAAAAGGUAAGACUACCUUUGGCUUAGGAACCAUAAGAUAUAUUUGUUUCAUUACCUCUACAAAGGACCUCAUCAAAUAUGGUUCCACUAUUAAUCCUAAGGUCCACCUCACCCACACAUCACUAUCAUUCAAAUAAGGAAACCAACCACCAAAUUUCCUACCUCUACACAAUACAAAUUCAGAAUUAACAUGUUUAUCAUCAUAGCUAAAGAGGUAGUAUAAAAAGGAAUCAAGUGUGAAGACAUCAUGCCGAGGGGGUACACUUUUAAAAUACAACCAACAAUCCUUUGUUCUAACCAUGAACCAUCUAGCAUGAGCAUUACAAAGGAUAGGUAUAAGACAAACAUCAAAGGAAAAUAAACACAAGCCGAAACAAUUCUUUUUUCCUCCCCACUAGUACACCGGGAUCAAAUGGGUGAAGUGGCCAAGGUACUAAACCGAAGCUACUCAUUCCAUCUACUAGGGUAUCACACUCACCCAAAGCAUUUGUUCUUAAGGGAAGACUACCACACAAAGAUAAAGACCUACGGCUUAGUAGGCUUCCCUUAACAACAUACACCUCAUCAUCCACAAUCUCUCCAUACACAUGAUCACCAAGAAUACAAUUAAUAGCAAGGUUCUCACCACAUAAGAAGUUCAAGGGACCAUAUUCAUUAUCAAGAUCAACACUAUAUACAUUAACACUAACUUGAAGCUCAUCAAGCACAUCAUACAUAAACUCAAGUAGUGGGCUAUAUUCGUGAGUAAAUUGAUCAUCAUUCACAUCCUCACUGGUUGUUGGCAACUCACAUACCAACGUAAACUCACCUCAAUUUUCACAAGAGUCAACUAGUGUGUGAAUACUCUUGUCACUUAGUAAUGGAACCUUAUUCAAGUCAUGAGUGCUAGCACUAGAUGGACACAAAUCAUUCUUACGAAAAGAAUCAAUUUUGUCAUCUUUAGGAUCAACUAGUGCUUGCAAACUUACAUUAAGAAUUUGGUCUUCAUGCAAUCUAAUAAUACCAAGAGUAUUACAAAGGUAAGACUCAUGCGAUUCUCCUCCCAGCAAACCAUCAACUACAUCCAUUUGGCUACUACUAGCCACAUCAUGACAUUCUAAGUUUAUAAGAGUGUAGGAGAUAGCAUUGUUACCUUUUAGCUCACAUGAGGUAUGGCCUUUACCUAGGUUUGGAUCAUGGCAGCCCAUUUGUUCCUUUGGGAAGCUCUCAUUACAAGGGAGUUUGUCAAGAAUUUUUCCUUGCAUCACCUCUUUGUCAUUUUUUCCAAAGUUGGAAUUCUUAGCCAAGAGCUUCAUUUGAUCAACAGCUAUGUGUUCUUGAGGAACUCUCCUUGAAUUCUCCAGUGGAAGUAUAUUAUCUUGAACCUAUACACAAGGCUUGAUACUAGGCAAAAUGCUAGCAUCUUGGUUAGUAGUGAUUCGGCUUAGAUGACAUGUUUCAAUCAUCAAUUGGCGUAGACUUUCAAGGUGCCAAUAGAAAUUUUCAAAAGGAUCCGAGAUAGUAUAAAUACUAUAACUAUCCGGAGUGGAUGAUAUUGUUCCUUCCAUUGUCAAGGUACCUAAAAAGAGCAAAAAAAAACAUCAAAGGCCUAAAAAAUAAACAAAUAAGUUAGUUCAAAUAACCUCACACACUCAUACUCGGAUCUCACCUCACACUUGGUCUCACAAGUGUUGAAUACUUGGCAAUACUUGGUAAGUGAAUUGAGUGGUGAAUAUGCCUUGGUUCGAAAUUGAUUUUUGUUUGAUAAGACUCAAAUAAAAUGAUGCACGGACUUGAACCAACAAACUACUAUGACUUAAAAAUAAGAAAAGCACACAAAAAGCGAAGACACGAACAAAAUGAACUCAAGACUAAUUAUCAACCUAGUAGGUACUUACUAGUUUGCUAAUUAUUGUUAGAAUCAAGACAAAAGCAACUAGAAACAUCAAAUAGAAACUUAGAAAUCUAAUUUAGAACUCAAUUUGGUUGUUCAUAAAAUGAUGACAUGGCAACUUGUGGUUGACGUCACUUUUCAAAAUUUUCAAUUCCAAAUCUCUUGUUUCGGAGAAAUACUCCUUUGGGGAAGAAGAAUUUCAAUUUUAGGAGGGAAAAUGAAGGUUUGAAGCCUUUUUGGAGCUUCAAAUGAAUUCAAAAUGGAUUGGUCCCCUCAAGUGUACUUUCAAUUGUACUUGUUUGUCCCCUUGUCCCCUCUUUCUUUUUGGAAGACUUAGAAUAUGCUAGGGAAUAUUCUUGUACAAACACUUUGUACACUCUUUUUCUACUCCCUUUUUGGAUCAAACAAGCUACUUGAAUAUUCUUCUUCAAGAUUUAAAGAUGGUGGAUGAACAAGAUGACUAUUCAAGAGUUGACCAAGGUUUGACCACUAGGCAAAUGAACCCUAACUUUAAUUUUUCUUUUAGAUCUAGGUUUUCUUUGUCAAACCAAGCACAACCAACACAAAACCAGCCACAAAACACCAUACACAAUUUGAUCAAAAAAUGAGACCCCUCCUCAAAAGCUUCAAACAAGCCACAACAAUGGUGGAUCUAGCUCAAAAACAACCAAAUCUUGUUCUAAACUUAGAUCUAGACCCUUUAAGUGCUAAAGAACAAGAAUAUAACACUAGAAACUAUCAAAACAGACUAAAAAUUAGUAGAUCUAAGUUGUGAAAUUCGGAUCUACUACCAAACAACAAGACAACACAUAAUUUUAUUUUGAGUUUUUCAAAUUUUUGACUCUUUUUGUGGAUAUUUAUACUCUAGACUCUUUUUUUGUGAAGAUUUUAUUAGAUCCAAGACUUAGAGUUGUGGGAACAACUCUAAUACAUGUAUCUGAUACGAAAUGAUACAAGAUAAGACUAGGAAUUCACGAAAUGGAAACACAAGAUGCAAAAAUCAGCAAGCAAAAACAACACAAAAGAAAGGGGAUGAAGAAGAAGAUUACAUAAACGUAAAGAUAGAUAGAAAGACCCUUACUUAUACCAAGUGAUUAACAAAAGAUGGUGUAUCAAACCAUCAAUCACACCUCACCAAUAAAAGUUCAAACCUUUCUCUUAGAUGGACCAAGGGAAUUCACACUCCUCAAAACCCACCUUUCUUGCCAAUUUGUCAACACAAGUGAAAUCCAUUAAUUGUGCUAACCCUAAUUCGAUUUCUCUCUCUUAAGGAUAAGGAGAAUACUACAAGCUAACACUAAUAUUACAAUCUAAAAAUUCACUCAAUUUAUUAUGUCAAAACUUAGGAAAAAUAAGAGCUAAGGUGCCUAUUUAUACUUAUUACAAACAAGGAUAAAAAUACCCUUAAUGAAGGGUGCUCCUUUGGAGUGUAAAAAAGGAGUCUUAAAAGACAACAAUAGCCCUAAAAUGGGGUGCCUCUUGAGUGUUAAAUCAUAGUGUGCAAAGUUUAUUUUGUCCUUUAAGUGAGGCGCCUCUCGAGUGUAAUGGUUCCCUUCUUCUCCUUCCACUUGACAAGGCUUUAAAAUGCUCCAAACACUUGUCAAUUCUAAAGUUUGAACCUUUGACAAUGCCUUGUACAAUUUUGUGCACCUCAUGCUUGUAUCAGUCUUCCCAUAACGCACAAUCUGAAUUGAGUAAUCAAAAAGCUAGUGAUCACUCUGGGAAGUUUAAGACUAUGAACAUGAGAAUCAGUAGUGUGCCAACUGGCAAUCAAUUUGAAUCCCUCUGCGACCCAGUUAGCCAAAUUGACGAAGGUCAUGGGGGUGAUCAUGGGGGCAGUCACAACCCUCCAUUAUCAUUGCUAAAUGGAACAUGAGGGGCUUAAAUCAGCCCUUAAAGCAAAAAGAGGUGCGACGCUUUUUGCAAAAGUAUGGAGUAGAGGUUUUUGGUUGUCUUAAAACUAGAGUAAAGGAACAUAAAUACAAGGGUAUCUUACAAAAAAUUAUGCAAAGGUGGAACUAUAGUUGUAACUACCCUAUGGUUGCAAAUGGAAGAAUAUGGCUACUAUGGAAAGAAAAUAUUAAUUUACAGGUCAUUGAAAUCAGAGAACAAUUUGUGCACUGUCAUGUUAAGAACUCCACAGUCAACUUUGCAACAUUCCUAACAAUAGUUUAUCCUAGGAAUGAACCCCAACAGAGGGUACUAUUAUGGAAUGACCUGAAAAUGUUAGGCAGAGCUAUGCAGGGCGCUUGGUUACUAAGUGGUGACUUCAAUAAUGUGCUCUCUACAAAUGAUAGAAUUGGUUCACCAGUGAUACCUGGAGAAAUUCAAGCUUUUCAGGAAUGUAUUGAUGAUCUACAACUCACCUCUCUAAGGGGAAAAGGCUGGCAUUACACCUUCUGUAAUAGACAUGAAGGUAUUACCAGGGUUUACUAAAAAAUUAAUUGGCUUUUGGUAAUUUCCAGUGGUUGUAGAGAUACAACCAGGUGGAGGUAGAAUACUUAAACCAUGGAGUCUCAGAUCAUACCCCAAUUCUGAUUGAAUAUAGACAAGUUAAUAACAAUAACCCCAAGCCAUUCAAGUUGUUUAACACAGUGAUGAAACAUUCUGAUUUCCCUGGCCUGGUAAAAGAAACUUGGGCAAAAUCAUGUAAUGUCACCCAUAUGUAUAGAUUAUGGAGGAAGUUGAACUUGCUUAAGCUGAUAGUUAAGAACCUAAACUCCGAUCUAUCACCUUAUGAGAAACGACUGAAAACUGCCAGGGAAAAGCUGAAUAUAGUGCAAAGUCGGUUGCUUAGAAACUCUCAGGAUCAAACUUUGAUUGAGGAAGAGAAGCAAAUACAAAAGGAUGUGAUCAAAUGGAGCAGUGUUGAAGAGCAAGGUCUGAGGCAGAAAUCUAGAGCAAUAUGGAUAAAAUUUGGAGAUGCCAACACUAGAUACUUCCAUGCUCAUUACAAAUUAAGGAUUCAUAAGAAUGUUAUCUCAAUAAUGUACAAUGACCACGGCACCAAGCUUACUGAACCAGAUUUGAUUAAAAAGGAUUUUAUCUUUGUCUUUAUCAACCAGAUAGGUACAGCUGUAAAUGAACUCCCAUGCUCAGAUGCAGGCAUUAUUAGAAGAGGACCCUGAUUGACAUAUCAUCAUAAAUGCUCUCUGAUCAGACCUGUAUCGAUAGAGGAAAUUCAAAUUAUAUUGAAAGAGAUACCAGUUGAAAAAUCUCCUGAAAUUGAUGAAUUUCCUAUAGAUUUCUUCACUCAACAGUGGGAUGUGAUAAAUGAUGAUGUGAGGAAAGCUGUUGCUGAAUUCUUCUCCUCUGGUAAACUUCUUAAAACCUUCAGUUGUACAUCCCUUACAUUAGUCCCUAAAGUUAAAUCCCCUACUUAUGUCAAAGAUUAUAGACUCAUUGCUUGUUGUACCACCUUCUAUAAAAUAGUCACAAAGAUCCUCACUAACAGAAUCAAGAGAGUAAUUAAUACUAUAAUCAGCCCUUCACAAUCAGCAUUUAUAGAACGAAGAAGCAUUACUAAUAACAUAUUAUUUAGCCAUGAACUACUCAAAUGGUACACUAGAAAAGGGUUAUCCCCAAGGUGUGUAUGAAGGUAGAUUUAAGAAAGUCCCAUGACUCAAUAGAGUGGGAAUUUAUGGAAAACAUGCUUGCUUAUAUGGGGUUUCCUUUCAAGUUUAUUCAAUGGGUUAUGGAAUACAUCUCCUUUGUAUCUUAUUCGUUGGUCAUAAAUUGUGGGUUUACUAAACCUUUUCAAGGAAAAAAGGGUAUUAGGCAAGGUGAUUCAAUGUCACCCUACCUAUUUGUAAUUACAAUGGUGUAUCUACUAAGGGAAUUAAAUGUCAUAGCUAACCACCCCCAGUUUAAAUUUCAUCCUAAAUGCAAGAAGUUGGGUGUUAUGCAUAUAUGCUUUACAAAUGAUCUGUUGAUGUUUUGCAAAGCUGAUAUUCCCUCUGUAAAGCUAAUGAUAGAAGCCUUUACUAAGUUCUCAAAAGCAACAGGCCUGCAAGCCAACAUUGACAAAAGCUCUUUGUACAUGAGUAGGGUCAAAAACCAAAUGAAAUAGACAAUCUUAUAGGAACUAGGCUUUGUAGAAGGCUCCUUACCUUUCAGGUACCUGAGGGUACUAAUUUCUUCAAAAAAGCUGACAAUAGACCAGUGUAUGCCUCUUAUGGACAAGAUUGUUGAGAGAAUUACUUGCUGGACAGCUAAGCUUCUUACCUAUGCAGGGAGAUUAUAGCUUAUCAAGGCUGUAAUCUUUGGUCUCCAAACAUAUUGGGCACAAAUCUUUGUGUUCCCCAAGAGAAACUUAAAGCUUAUUGAAACAGCUUGUAGAACUUUUCUUUGGACAGGUUCAAUAGUGGUAUCAAAGAAGGCCCUAGUUUUUUGGGAGAAAAUACGUCAUCCAAGGGCAGCAGGAGGCCUAAAUGUCUUAAACAUGUACAGGUGGAACAAAGCUGUUGUGAUGAAGCAGCUUUGGGCACUAGCAACCAAGAAAGAUUGCUUAUGGGUUAAAUGGGUACACAUAUAUUAUAUGAAGCAUGAAACAAUUGAUAGCUGCCAGGUUCCUCAGAAUGCUACAUGGGUCAUCAGGAAGGUACUUGAAGCUAGGAAAAUCCUCAACACUUUGAGUACCCUAAAUGGUGGUGUUGUUACUAGAUUGCAAACAAUGGUAAGCAGAGAUAGAUUCCUGGUCAAAAAUAUGUACAAUACACUAACACCUACAUUUCCUAAAGCAAGCUGGAAGAGUUUGACAGAGCAGCCGGCUAUACAUCCUCAACAUAAAUUCUUUUUAUGGCUAGCAUUGCAGAAGAAACUUCCCACAGUUGAGAGGUUAUUGAAGAUUGGUGUGGUAGUUUCUCCUACUUGUGUAUUCUGUAAGUCUACUGAUGAGACUAAAGAACAUUUGUUCUUUAAGUGUAGCAUCACCUAUCAGCUCUGGCAUAGAAUUCUAAGAUGGAUAGGGGAGCACAGAACAAUUGGACAAUGGCAAACUAAAAUGAAAUGGGUUACUAGCUGGUAAAGAAGAAAAAUGACAAUGGAGGUAUAAUAAGUUGUCUAUUUGCUAUGGUAAUUCAUGUGAUAUGAAGGAAAGGUAAUAUAAUGAGAUUCCACCAAGGACAAUAUGACCUGGAUAGAGUGUGCAAAGAAAUUGUGGCAUUCAUCCAUACUAGAGGUUGUGACAUCAAGCAAUGGAAACCGAUUUUGCAGCAACUGAACAUGCCUCCAUGAGGAUUUGCAGCACCUGGACAUUCACUAGAAUUACUGUAGGAGCAUUUUGUAAUUAAUUUCCUUAAUGUAAGUGAAUUUCUUAGUAUCAGUAGAUCUAGUGUAGUGAAAUGAUUGUAUGAGAGUUAGGAGGUCUGCUCCUAGCUGGCAACAUGUACGAACACUUUGGUAUUAAAUAAAACCUGUUUAGUUACCCAAAAAAAAAAAAUUAAUGAUUUAUAGAUUCUAGACAUAUGCAUUCAUGGUUGGAAUAAUUGCACUAACUUUCCAUGCUUACUUUAUUAUUGAAUCUUACAAUGUCAAGAAGGGUAAAAAGGUAAAAUACACAUCUAAUUAUUAGGUUUCUUAAUGGGUGUGUCAAGGUUGAAAGGGUCAUCUAAUUCGAAACAGAGGGAGUAGAAAAGGAUUUACUCCUUCGUUCAUCUUUACUUGUCCACUUUUCUAUUUUGAUAGGUCCAACAAUACUUGUCUAGUUUAUAAAUCAAUAAAUAAUUUACUUACUUUUACUCAUUUAUACUUUAUAUUAUAUACUCCCUCCAUCCUAAAUUACUCAUUCCAAAUUUCUAAUUUGAUUUUCAUUUUACUUGUCCUUUUUCAUCAAGAAGAGACAAAAAAAAAAAAUUCAUGUUUUACCCUUUGCAUUAAUUACUUUUUCUUCAAAUUAAAACGUAAACAUCAUUUAAUAGGGGCACUAUGGUAAACUAGUCAUAUUAUUAAUUAUUUUUUUAAUCAAUGUAUCAUCUCAAUUUGGGACUGAUAAUUUGAGACGGAGCGAGUACAAUACAUCACUUAUUGUAUUUUUCAAGGCAAGAAAUUUUUUAUAUUCAAAGAGUGACAUAGUAAAAUCACCCAUCUAUUUAUUAUUUUUUAAGAUAUGUGUCAAAUUAAAAGUAGAUAUGUAUUUACGGACAGAUGGAGAACAUUAAAAAUUAUUUUUUACUCUUAAUAAAAUGUUAUAUAACUAAUAUACUUAUUCAAGGAUUACCUUAAAUUAUAAAUUUUACUUUUAUAUAUAUAUAUCAUGUCAAAUUAAAAUAUAUCACAUGAGAUGAAAAAAAUAUCAUUUAUCACAUAAUAUAUAUUAUAAGAUAUUAAAUUUAUUAUUGUUAAAAAAGGUGAUAUUGUUAUUAACACUGUGUGUGUGAAGAUAAUAAUGAACAAAGUAUUAUUAUCCACCAAACUGGCCUUUAAUAAAAUGUUGUCGGUGAUUGGGGAGAAGUGGGCCCGAGUAUUAACGCACGGAGAAGUGACACGUAGAUGACAGCGUGGAAUAUUCGCCGAAGAAUAAGGAAAACAGAAUAUUAUUCGUACAUUCACGUGCCACGUCCUCCCAAAUACUACUAACUCAAUUAGGUAAUAUAGGCCAUUUAAGACAAAAUAAAAAUAUUCUAGUUCUAGCUAAAUUAUGAAUAAGAGCAUUUUUUCUUUCUUUCUUUUUAAUUCUUUAGCUAUUAAUAAUUUUUGUGUGUGUGUUAUAUGAGUUAAUGUUUAAACAUUGAUUAAUUACAAAGAUAAUUUUGUAAUUAGCUUUUGAGAAAGGAAUAAUUAAAUGAAAUACUCAUUUUGGUGAUCUCUAGUCUAUUAGAUUUAGCCUAAUUAUUAGUUAAUUAGGUUUACCAUAACAUUUGGUGAUCUAAAUUAUCAAAUGUGGCCAAACUUUGGUAUUGAAAGUAUAAUGCCAUUUCUUAAAUAUCCAGUUUUAUUUUUAUUUUUUAGUAUAAUUUUAUAAGUAAAAUUCAAGGAUGAUAGAAUAUACGUAAAUUUUACUUUCCGAAAAUAAAGUAAUUAACUCGGUCUAUAAAACUAAAAUAAAAGAGGCCAGAAAGAAUGUGUGUUUGAAGAGUUAAUAAUAAGUUGUACUAACCAUAUGCAAAUGGGAACAUAAGUUUUACGUGGCGUAAAUUCAAAUUAAUCCUUGAAUACAAAUAUUUAGCACCAAAAAAGAUAGUGCAUGAUAGGUUCCCAAAAAUCCUCUCUUAACGGCACUCCUUGACAACAAUAGGAAAAUUGAAGAUCAUUAAUUUUCUACGUUAUUGUAAUUUCUUAAUUCAAUUUAUCCUUCCUUCGUUAUCAUAAAUACAUGAAAGCUAUAUCAAAUUAAAUAUUAGGAAAAGGUUUAAAUAUGUCAUAAAAAAUUUUAAAAAAAAAAACUCAUUUAUAUCAUUCAUUAAAAGUUGGGCUCACCUAUGCCCAAGCGAGAGAUGGCAGUCAAUACUCUAUUGUAUAUCAUAAACAGCAGUGGCGUUGGUGAACCCAACGUUUAACGGAAAACAAAAAUAAACUUUUUUCUAAAAAUGUUUAAUAGCAUAUUUGAGCAUUUUCCCUUAAAUAUUUAAAAGGAGAAAGAAGGCAGGUUUAUUCAACAACCAAUACUAUAUAGUACUAGUAUUUAAUUAACCAGUUCAUCUCUAAAUGUACCUACUCCACGUUAGAUUUCUCUACUACAUAAAAUUUAUCUCUGUCUAUCUUUUGGAUUUUUAUGAGUUCAAGGAUCAGAAACCAUCAUAAUCACAUACUAUUUUGAAUAAAUUUCAGCCAGCUUACCCAUGUUCUCUCAACAAAGUGAAUAAAAAAAGCUAAAUUGCAUAUACAUUACUAAUGUCAAACCUAGCUUGUUCGCAGCUCAACUAAUUUUACGAACAUUAGCUUUAGUGAAUGCUAAAUGCAUAUGCGGAACUUCUGAAAUGGGAAAGAAUGUGAGCAGUCUAUUAUCAUGAUUAAAAAAGAAUACCUCCUUUCCAAAUUAAGUGUCGUUUCACAUCCAAAAAAAAUUGUUAGUGUCACUUUAAAAAUUCAAGAGAAAAAUAGACUUCCUAUGUCUCAACUUAUAUGAUUCAUUUUGUUUUUUUAGUCGGUCCAAAAAAAAACAACACAUUUCUACCUUUAGUAAAUUUAUAAAUAGAUAUUGGAGUAGCAUAUUGUUCUCUCAAAGAAUCUCAAUAUUAUUAUCUUUCUAUGGAACAACAAAAGAAUUGUAGAGGUCAGAAAUCAGACUGAAAAUGGCACUUUGAAUAAGAAUAUUGCAGGAAAGCAAAAAAGAGAAGGGAGCAGGAAAGAAGGGGAAGGAUGACAGUAGAAUUUUUUAUUUUGUUUUUGAGAAGGAUGACAGUAGAAUAUUCUUGCAAGAAAAAAGAUACAACAGACAGAAAUGUCUUGUUAGAAUAAUAUUGACAGCAAUGAGCCAGCUAUAACGCUUCUUUGACCCUAUUUUUAACUCAUCCAAAUAGGAUUUUUUGCUAAAGGGAGAUCAGAGCACAAAGCAUCCCGCAUUAAUGUAGGAAAAAGGAAGAGGAUUUUUAUCUAUGCUAUUAAGUCUGAAUUCUUGGCAAUCUAAGAUGACAUAAGUAUGACUUGGUUGAGUUGAACCAAAAAGCAUUAUGCAGGCCCAAAAAUAACACCUUUUUUUCACUUGCUAACAAAUGUUGAACUAACACGUUCAGACUCAUACCUGAGGGGGGAAGCAUGUAACAGCACAAACUGAAACACAAACACAAAAUGAUAGAGAAAACAUGAAGGAAGCAAAGAUUGACUUCAAUGUAUAUCAAUUUCAAAUGAGACGGUACAUCAUUCAUCACAAUCUUUUUACAUGGGACACAUCCCCGAAGAGGAGAAAUUGAGAGAGAACAAAGAUACAAGAGGACAGUAUCACAUGAAAUCAUACCCUAUAUAGAUUGCAUGAUUGAACUCUCACGGUUUCAUGGAGGUCACCUAACGGCUAUUAGUAUGCAUCUAUGCUCAAGCUGAACUAUAGAGCUUGCCGGUGGAUAACAUGCGUCCAUGAUCUAUUCCUCACGUAAGCAGCCUUUGAAACCUUUUCUUAAUGCAGUUUCAUUUAGGUUUCUACCUAUGAAUACUAACUUGUUUAUUCUCUUCUCGUUUGGUUCCCAUGUCUUGCCUGGGCAUCCAUCUAAAAUGGAAUGUACUCCCUUUGCCAAAAAAUUAAAGAAAAGCAAGACGAUAAUCAGAAUUAGGAAUGACAGAGCAUCAAGAGGAAAAAAUAUCACAAAGACGAAAUUGAUGAGAACCUGGAAAACAUAGCGCUGUUCAGAAUUGCUCACAGAUAAAACCCCUUUCAUCCUGUACAUGUCAUCCCCAUUCUCUUCAAUCAGUCUUUCAAGCCAAUCAUCAACCUGGAUCACAUACCAGCACGGAAAUGUUGUUCAUACAUAAUCAACAAGUUUUGGACGAAAAAUGGACAAGGAAGCAUUUUCAACUAUAAAGUUCAUGUUUUUUCUCUAGCACAUUCAAGUGUUUAGUAGAGCAAGUCUUGUUAAAAUAUCAAUAACCGUUACAUUAGGGCAGAGCCACAGGACUUUAAGCAUGUUGCGGCGAGUGAAAUUGGCAACUCAACAAUAAUCAGAUAAUGAUAUCAAAAAAUAAGAAGUUAACUAGAAAGAGAAGAUACCUCAUCUAAAUCUAAGGUUCCCUCGGACACAAUACUAACACUGGAUACAGCAGAAUCAUGUACAUGAUCAUGAAGGUGGCCGUGGCCCUUGUGAUGUUCUGCAAACAAUGAGGCAUGCUAUCAAAAACCUGAAGGAGCUUUAUGUUUAUCUUCUACUAAGAUGAGAAGUCAGAUCAGUAAUAAAAAAGAAUCAGACAUAUCAAACAACUCAAACAUACAUUUAAAAAAAAAGGAAGAAAACCAGGGAGAGUCGGGGAGACAUUAGAAAGAACACGGAGAACAAAGAAAUGUUUCUCAAAGUUAACACCAUUCACUAACCAUGCCCAUCUUCAUGUUUGUGCCCACAGUGGGAGCCCUCUGAUUGAACUUCAGAAUCAACUCUGGAAAGCAGGCAUAAUUCAGCAACAAUAACUCAACAUACCAUUCUCAGCCAAGGAAAGGGAAACAGUUAAAGGAGCAAGUUCUUUAAGCAAAAUCACCGGUCAAGAUCGUAGCCACCAACUCCCAAAACGAAGUCCAUAUCAACCACCCCAUGCUUUGCUCUCUUUAUUUGUGCCAUCCCAUUGAUAUGCUGGAAAGUCACGGCAAUCAAGAUUGUAUUCAAAAAAGGAGUCGUAAAUAUAAUUGGAAAAAGGGAAAAUAUAACUAAAUGCAGGCUCAAGGAGUACACAUUGCAUAUCCAGCAGAAAUGGCUAUGCAGAUGUUUACCUAGCUGUCAAAGCUGUUAGAAACAUGAAACAGAUGCCACAUAACUUUUUUAAAAAAGGAAAAAACAGAAAGAGUUCAAGAUUGCAGCAACUCAAAAUGCAUUACUAGUCCUAUUGGAACAAACAUUACGGAAGAAAUUAAAGGAUUACAAUAAGAAAGCAGCGAGAAGAGCCUCACAAGGAAAUUCUUCCUUCAGAUUAAGCAGAUUAGUUCUUAAAACUAAAUACGCAAUAGGGCAAUUUUUAAGCUUAGUAUCAUUGAAUCAUUCAUACAUAACAUAUUGCAACAAUGUAAGUUAUGUUUAUGUUAGAGCAACUACCUGCACUGCUAUUGUAAAAGAAAGAGAAAUAAGACUAGAAAAGAAGAGACUCUACCUUGAUUCUCUUUGUUAACACUUCGAGCUCAGAUUCAGUUACCAAGUCUAUCUGUCAACACAAUCAGAAGAACACAAACUGAAAUAUAGGAUUCCCAUGAUUGCUUGAACCUACAGCAGGCUAGGAAAAGUGUAACCAAGUAAAAGCUAGAAGCUGCCUUACCUUGUUCAAGAUAAUACGAUCUGCAUAAGCCACUUGUUCGACAGCCUCAUUCGUAACAAAUCUGGGUUUUACCUCAUUUAAAUGCUGCAACGCGUGCUUGCAAUCAACCAAUGUAACAACUCCAUCAAGUUUGACAUGUCUUGAAACCAAUUCAUCAGAACAAAAUGUUUCAAUAACUGGACCAGGCUUUGCAAGACCUGGAAAACAAGUAGUGACUCAAAGGAUCGGUUAGGGAGAUGAUGAACACACGCUAAACAUGACUUCCAAAUUUCAACUUCUGAAGUACAACAUCCUAUAGAGAUUUAGUUAGACCAAGAUGCAUAAUUAGUAUUUAGUCAGCAUUCUUUUUCCUUUGCGCUGCUUCUCCCCAUGAGUAAGAGGGUCUAUAAAGGAUUGUUCAUUUCAGAAAGCUAGCAAACAACAUUUAGCAAAAUUGAUAAACUUUUUCUGUCAACGCCAGCAAACAACAUUCAGCAAAAUUGAUAAACUUUUUCUGUCAGCAAUGCCAGUGGACAUUAACUAUCCCAGACCACUUAGAGAGCAAUUGAAGUUAACCAUGAAGUUACAACAGAUUUAAACAAGGUUUCGUGCAAAAGACAUUAAAUGAAGCUACAUGCAUCAAAACAUCUGAAUUUCAUUGUCACCGUCAGGAACAGACAAUUAUCAAAACGUAAGAUCAACACUACAUAUGGAUAUGUUCCCUCUUUUUUCCUGUCCAUAUCAUUGCAUCAACAUUGUUGGGAGAAGAGGUAGCAAUAGUACAAGCUACUGUUUUGGAUUAAUGCAGAUCUAUUUCUACGUGGAAUUGUUUAUGGCACAUAAAUUUAACCCAUCCCAUCAAUAAAAGAGAUUAAGAAGAACCAUAUACUAAAAUGCUUUGAGAAUGGUAACAUAACCCUCCAUUAAAAUGUGUUCACAUACUUUAUAGAAGAACUUUAGCUAUUGCUAAUAAGAUGACCUGCAUAUACCAAGGCAAAGUUAUCCUUUCAAGUAUUGAAGUGACUUGCAAGUGCUAAACAACAUAAUCAAAACUUUUUCCCUUUUGAUAAGUACUUCGUGAUCAGAUGUUCUUGACGUCUUAUUAACAAAAUUGAGUCCACCAGUGCACUCGAGCACGUUUGAGAACAACAGUUACAACAUUUUAUUAAAUAGUUUCACAUACCUGUUGUCUCUAUAACUAUGUGAUCAAAUUUGUCUCUCCUAUUCUUAACGAGCUCCAAAAGCAUCUUAACAAGGUCACCACGUACAGUACAACAUAGACAACCAUUAUUAACCAUGAGAAUGUCCUCAUUAGAUGAAGAAUGACUAGCAACCAAUGAGCCAUCAAUGUCCACCUCACCAAACUGCAAUUGGAUUAGUCAUAUAAGAAUUUAAGUAAAUGUAGAUAAUCCAAAAUUUACUAGCCCUAACAUAAUUAAAUACAAAACAGGAAGUCAAAGGGCAUCCAUUAAAUGGAAAAAGAAUCAUCUUAGGUUAUAAAAGUUAACAACAAUAACUGGAUAAAACAAGAAAACACUGGAAUACCUCAUUUUCAAUCACAGCAAUCCGCUUCCCAUGCUGAGAUGUCAGUAUGUGAUUCAACAGAGUUGUCUGCCAGAAUAUCCAAAGAAGAAAAGAAAGAGAUGUUUCUCAUAAGCAUACUAAUCCCAACAUCUUAUAAUGCAAAGUGAUUCAGAUAUCUCAAUUCAACAUAGAGAAACACUACAUUCCUAGUCAUUGUAGGUUAAAAAAAGAAACCGACAAAGAAAAACAAGGUUGUGACAUUAACCAAACAAAUCAUUCACUUCUAAUUCUACAUUGGGCAUAAUUUCUUGAACACAUAAUAAAACAAACACUAGCACAAACAAAGAAAAGGAGGAAAACAUUUCCCUAACUUUCAGUUGAAUACAAUUAGUUUUAAAUCAAGUUCAGAGAAGAAUGUCAUAACCUCAAGGGUAUGACCCCUCCAUCCCCCAAAUUCACAAGAUGACGAAUUCAGAGCAAGAGAAUCAAUUUAUGUAAUUUUCGUUGUGAAUAAAAUUUACAUGCUUGAAAACCACUCCAUCUGUUUCAUAAAGAAUGUCCCUUUUUUUUUCCUGGCAAAUCGUUCAUUCUAACUUUCCACAUGACAUAUUUAACACCACGUGAUUAAAGAACAUUUUAGUACAUUUUUAUUUAUUCAAACUCUGUGCCACGUCAAAACCAAACAAACAAUUGAAACGGAAGGAGUAUAUAAAUAAAGCACCUAUUUUUUAAAUCCAUUUCACUAUAAUAUUCAAUAAUUUAACAAAACAAUAAAAUACGUCCCAAUCCCGAGCUAAUCGAACUCAGCUACAAAUUAGAAUCUAGCCUCAAUUCUAAUAUUCAAUAACUUAGAUUACAAUAGCUAAAAAGAAAAUUAAAAAAUGUGAGAAAAAUGUACUCUCCCCGUUUGUACGGUUUUGACUUGACAGGAAAUUUAAGAAAGUAAAUAACCUGGUAGUCUUAAAAUAAGCAUACAUAGAAGGUACCAAAAUGUGUUUAAUCUUGUGUUCUUACAUAUGACACAUGCAAAAUUGAAAUCAAAGAGUUAUUUAUUAAAAAAAAAAAGAAAGGAGACAUUACGGACUACACCCUCCGUCCAAUUUUAGUUGCGGACAUUCCAUUUACACGGCAAUUAACAAAAUCAUAUAUUGAAUAAUAAAUUUUACUAUUUUACCCUUUGCUCAUAUUAAAAUGUCAAUGGACAUUGCAAUUGUAAUUGCUUACAUUUAACGCAUGCUAUUAAUUGUAGGGAUAAAAUAAAAAAUGUCCAUUUAUUUUUAGCAUGAUGACCAACUAAAAUGAACGGAGGUACUGAUAAAAAGUAAGACAAACAUAUUGAAACGGAGGAAGGGAGAUUUGGGGUCACCUUUCCAGAGCCAAGAAAACCAGUAAUAACAGUGGCGGGAACGCGACUAUCAAGAUUCAAAGCGGCAGCGAUAGAAGAAUCAGAGUCUUGAGGGAAGUAUUGGGGAGAAGUGGAGAAGGUUCUAGAAUUAUUAGGUGAAUGGCAAUGGAAGUUUCUGGAAGCCAAUGAGUGAAGAGCUCUAAGCAAUUGGGAAAUGGGUGGGAACUUGUUGGAAUGUUGAUUGCUGAGUUUAAGGGAAGUUGAUGACUUGGAGAGCAAGUACCUGAGAGUAGUCGCCAUUGUUGCAGAGGACAGUGAAGCUUAAACCCUAGUUAGGGGUUUUGGUGAAUUUUUGAGUUUGAAAAAUUAUUUAUACUAAAAUUUGGAUGUGAAAAGAGAGGGGGGUGCUACCAAAUUAAUACCAUUAUUUAUGAUGGUUCCGUGAUUGAAUAAACUAAAAUAUAAUUAAAAUACAUAGUAAUUAAUCAUAAUUAAAUAACAGUAACUCUAAAUUCAAACACAUAUCAUAAUAUCAAUAAAUAUAGUUACUUAUCGUGUUUUUUAUAUAGUAACUACCAGGUACCACUAAUAUAUAAAUCUGAACACUAUGCCUUGAAAAAUUAAAUUUAACUAUACUAUCUUCGUCGAUUAUUUAUUUUUUAUUAUUUAUCAUUUUGACAUUUGAAGAAAAAAUAUUUUUUUAUUUUUUCUGCCUUAUCUAAGCAUUAAUUAUUUUUCCUCAAAAUUAAAUUCAAGACACAAUAGUAAACAUCAUUUAAUAUGAUACUAUAAUAAAAUAAUUAUGCCAAUAAUUAUUUUUCUUAAUGAAUGUGUCGAAUUAAAGUGUGACAAGUAAAAACAAAUGGAGGUAGUACUUUACAUAUUUUAAAUAUAGGAAUAAUAUUGAAAGAAUAUGUCAAAUUUUUAUUGAUUUCAUAAAAUGCAUAAGUAAACUGAAACAAUCUAUUUUCUCAAUAGGUCAUCUAAAAUUUGAGGGACUUUUCAAGAAAAUCUAAAUUCCCAUAAACUCAUGGAUAUUCAUAAAAAAAUUGAAAUCUCCAAUAUCCCAUAAAAUCAACAACAACAACAACAACAAACCCAGUGUAUUCCCACUUAGUGGGGUCUGGGGGGUAAGAUGUACGCAGUCCAUACCUCUACCUCUGAUGAAGUAGAAAGGCUGUUUCCGAAAGACCCCCGGCUCAAGUCACGAGAUAUCACACAAACACAUAGUAAAGCACAGAAGCAGAUGACAUAACAUAGAUACGGCACCCAUAAGGACAAUAUCCCAUAAAAUCAUGGGAUAAAAAUCACGAGAUAUUAAUAAAGAAAUUAUCCUAUGUUCGAGAAAUAGGUCACUAACGGCUCUCGAAUUACGAAAAAAAUUGAAAAAAGGAUCAAGAGGAAUAGAUUUGUAACCACCUCGUUUAUCAAUAAAAUUAUUGUUUCUUCGUAUUUUUAUUUGUGGUUGAAGUUUAUUUUCCAUGUAAAAAUUUGUGGAAAACAAAUUGACACACUCAGUGGGACCAAAUCUGUCCUUCAUCUCUAAAUCAGAUAAUCUGUAGCCGCCACAUAAAGAUGGAAACUCUAUUGGUACUUCAACACUCGUCAUCAAAUCUACACUUCGACGACAUUUGUGGGACUCUAAAUUCUGUUAGAGUUCUAGGAGGGUACUUUACCUAAAUCCCGCCUAUUUAAAGGGGUAACAUAUUCCCUAAAAUAGACAUCUUGAAUAUCUCAUAAACUGUGGAUAUUCGUAAAAGGAUCGAAAUCUCCAAUAUCCCACAAAAUCAUGGGAUAUUCAUAAAGAGAACAUCCUAUGUUCGAGAAAUACGCCACUAAUAGCUCUCGAAUUACGGAGAAAAUUGAGAGAAGAAUCAAGGGAGGAACAGAUUUGUAACCACCUCGUUUAUCAAUAAAAACUGUUGUUGUAUAAGUCAUCUAAACUUAAAGAAAUGAAUUGUAAAUGAUUACUACUUAUUAAUAAAGAUAAAUUAGGCCGUAAAAUAUAGUAAAUGUUCUUAUUUUUUAAAACUGAACAAGGAAAAACAAAUAUAGAUUUUUAGUAUAAUGAAGAAGUAAAAAUGGACAGAAAAAAAUGUUUGAGACAAAUAUUUUUAGUAUGGAGAUAAGUAUUUUGAGAUGAAAUUAUAUAAGGCAGUUCAAUCUUUACUACACAACAGGACUAAUAGAUAGAUUUCAUGUUGGAAGAACAAAAGGCUGAGCAAUCUUAUUGCUCAAUUUUGUAAGUUAAGGAUACUUACAAAGAGGUGACAUUAGACAUAAACCUACUUUAGUAUGUCAGCAGUCAGAAGGAAAAAAAAAACUAAAAACAUAUCUUGCUUAUGAUCAUUCAUUUCCAAGAGCCCCUACUAAGUUUAUGAAUAUGUCUUUCACAGGGACACAUGCUUGUCUGUCAUCUUUUGCAGCAUUCUGGAUUCUGGAAUCAGCAAGGUAGAUUUUUCUUGCUCUCUUCUUUGACAUGUUUGCCUUCUUCGAUAACUUCCCACGAGACUUGGUAUUAAAGGGACCAUUUUUCCUAGCUUGGGAACUCAUAUCUCCAAAUUUCUUGCUGUUUUGCUGAAUGUUGUCGUAAUUAGUUGCAGGAGAGGAGGUAGAACUUGUGUAACAGACGGGAGUUCUCUUCGACUUUCUCCAAACAAGUUGAGGCAUUUUGCUCUUGUUUGUCGUCUGAUCAGAGAUCUCUUUUUUAACAGGAAGCAUUGAACUAUCAUAUAACACUUCUAUGUUGAUGGGGUGCCCGACGAUUGCCUUUCCGUUUAGUCUACUCAUUAGAGAAACAAGGGGAGUAUGCUCUCCUCUAUAGGUGCGUUGAACUGUCAUAUGCACAUCCAUUAAUGUCUUGGUACUAUUCUUUCGUGUGGUCAACUUCGAACAAAGGCUUUGGAUGCUGGCGUCCUCCGAGAAACUGUUCCCUGGACCAGGCUGAGACUUCUGACUGCCAUUCCUUGACAUGGUUUCAAAUGAUUCAGUCUUGAAUCCAAAUUCAGUGCUUCUUUCAUUAGACGAAACAACUGGUCUGCUCUUAAAAUGUUGAUUAUGCACUUUCCCAUUGCGCUUCCAUUUGUUGACUGCUGGACGACUGAUGACCUUGAAGCUCAUCUUCGUUGGUCGCAAUGCAUAGUGACCUGAAUUUUCAGAAUAGAUUAAAACAGCACAACAGAAUCCAGUCAAUUGGUCGGUCCUGAAACUACUCUAUGACUUUUGUAAUGCCUCUUCUGUUGAGCAGCAUCAUACUGACAGAAGGAAAGGAAAAAGUUUCCAUCUUUCAUCGAUGUGAAUUAAAUCAUAUGAUGUAACGGAUAUUCUUAGAUGUAGAUUUUCUAGAAUUGAAGUCACUGUCGAUGCCAUUUCCAUGACAUCACAGCAGCACACUGAUGUAAUAACUCAAAGAAAAUGAAUGCAAAGGAAGGGAAGUUUGCUAGUGCUUUAGGAAUCAUUGCAUAGAAAUGUAAGGCAAGAUUAUAUGUAACAUCUGCUCAAAUAAGAGAAAGGCAACACUUAAAAAAAGAACCAGCUCAAGUGAUGCUAAUUAAGUAAAGAUAAGGAUUUAAACUUCAAACAUUACGAUGGAAUAGAAAGGAGAUAGAUGUGUAUCAAAACCAUAAACAAGAGGAUUAAACAAAGAAACAUGGGAUAAACAUUAACCUGCAGUUGUCUUUCUCUUUCUAUGUGAAUCACUCUUCAAGGAACUCGUGGACUUGGAAGAAGAAUUUUCUGCAAUGAUAUUUGAUGAUUGAGAAUAAACUGAUUUCUCCAAGAAAGAUAUCGAGUUGAUAGGGGAGCAAAAUCUUUUGCUUCUCGUUGCUCUUUGAUUACUUUCGCCAUGAGUCUCACCCUCUUUGAAUCCAGAAACAAAUACUGUAAUGAACAAACAAAAUUUACCAGCAGAUCGCUUUGUUGAUUUAAACAAAUUUCAAGAUUAGGAUGAUGAGACACUUCUUUCUUAAUGUGGCAUCAUGAACAUUAAAUUUAGCAUCCAUCUUGAUCGACAUAUAAGCAUCAUUAUUCACAUAUAUUAUCAAAUACAAGUACUAACAACGACGAAUUGGCAGCCUAAUACAACAAAGACACAAAAUCUCAUAAAAUACCUGGCCUUUCCAGUUUCUCCUGAUCUCCCUUUUCAAGUUCAAGAGCAUGAAGAAUGGCAUCUUCUCUACGCACAUAUUUCAGGCUUUUACUACAGGUAAAUGUCUUGGAUGAUUCAGCCUUUUUGAUACAACCAUCAAACUCACCACAUCGAAAUGACUUUACACGAUUAGAAUUCUCCAAAUUGUACCAACACCUGAAAUAAUUUUGUUAGACAAUUGCACACAAACAUGAUUUCACACACUCAUUUGCCUGAUCUCAAAUCCACAAAAGAUUGCAAUAAGCACACCAAAGGUAAAAAGCAACAACAAAUAUAGCAGAAAUUAACCUCUUUCUCUGUUUCCUUACUGCUUAGCAACAAAAGACAGCUAUAUAUCCAUUUACACCCUUAAAUACUUGGUUUUUCACCCAAAAAAAUCCACCAAAUCUCAACUCCCUACCAAAAAUAAAAGGGGGUACUCAAGAACACCAUAUUCUAAACUUCUAACAACACAUAAAAGCACAAAAAGAACAGAAAAAAAAAAGAGCUAAGAACCCAAAAAAAUAAAACAAAUCUCAACUCCCAACCAAGAAAAACCAAAAGGGAUAUUCAAGAAUCCCAUGUUCUAACAUGUAACAACACACAAAAAUAAGCAAAGAAAACAAAGAGGGGUAUUCAAGAAUCCCAUAUUAUACCUUCUAACAACACACAAAAAGCACAAAAAUAAGCAAAAAAACACAAAAGGGAUAUUCAACAAAAAAAAAAAAAAGAGCUAAGAUAAGAGCAUACACAGAAGCAUUAUCUCGACCAAGAAGCUUAAUAGGAAAUCUUGAACUUAAACUAGCACGAGAAAGAAUCCCAGAGCUUGGAAUCUCAUCACUACACAAUAUUCUCCCAGGCCACCAUGUUCCAUUUUGUCUUAACACCCAAACUACACUACCUCCUCUUCUUUCUAUAACACUCCCUCCCAUUUUUUUUUUCAACAAAUAUUCAGAUUCAGCUCUUUAUGAGGAGAUAUAUAAAGAGAUUUUACCAAAGUUUUUAGUACUACUUUCAUCAUUAUCAUCAUUUGGCACAAGGUAGAAAAAAUAAAUUUAAAAAUAAAGUUGAAGAGCCAAGAAUAAAGUGUGUCCAAUGGGGGAAUGCUAGCUGUGUUUUUUUCUUCUUUUGUUGUUUUUGAAUGUACGAUUAAGGUACCGUUGCCUCUCUUUUUGGUUUUGUCUUUUUGUUUAGACUUUGGAGCAUGGAGGGAAAGCUACUUGUGUAAUACUAUCAUAGGUGUCAAAUAGAGAAAAUGGUGAAAAGUCACCUAACCCAAAUUUCAACUACACACUUAUAUUUUGCGGGUCUAUGAUCCUCUUAAAUUAUUUUAAAAUAUAAUUAUUAUUCCCCAAACUAUUUUUAAAGUGAAGUAUAUAUCCAUCUAAAAAGCUCAUACCCAAAUCUUUUUAGGUAAUGGUCUACACGCGCUGCCACAUAUCAUGUCACGUAAUUUCACGUCAUAUUACUUUUUUUACUAUAAAAAAAUUGAUUAUUUUUCCUUUUCUCUCUUCGUUUUCUUUCUUCUUCUCCAAUUUUUCAUCUUCCUCUUCCUCCUCUUCCUUCUCUUCUUCUUCUUCUUUUCUUUACAAACAAUGACAUCAAUGGCAUAUGACCAAAUGAUGUAAGAUUACUCCUCAAUCAACAAUUAAUGUCUAAAAAAUAUUCAAUUUUCAUAAAAUGGCACCGCCUUCUCCGAUUAACGGAGAAAGAUAAGUAUCUUCAAUGGUGCACAAUUUCUGACAAUGAAACACCGUUGGAUCGUGACGGUGACAGCAAAAUUCAAAAUUCCAACGUCGUCUUUUUCGAUAAAUUUUAGCAUUCUCAACGUCAAUAAAUUUUUUAAGAGCUAAGGAAAUAUUCUAACCCAAAAAUUAAUUCGAAUUUUUCAAUCUGAAUUGAUUCACAUUCUCAACGUCAAUCUGAAAUUGGUUGAUAAAUUAACGUUGAGAACACUGAAAUUAAUCCAGAAAAAUUUUAAUUAUAUAUCAGUGAACAUCAUUGAUUUGACUGAGAAUAUUCAAAAUUCUCAAUCUGAACUGAUUCAAAACUAGUUUUAUGAAGUCGGAACAAGUCGAUUUUGUUCAUGAGGAAGAUGAUAAAUUAAUUUUAAAUGUCAUUGAUGAGUUCUUGCAUGUCAAGAAGAAGAAGAAGGAGAAGGCGGAGGAGAAGGAGAAGGAGAAGGCGGAGAAGAAGGAGGAGGAGGAGAAGCAGAAAAAGGAGGAGGAGGAGGAGGCCAUUGAUGCCAUUGUUUGUGAAGAAGAAGAAGAAUUGAAGAAGAAGAAGAAGAAAGAAAAUGAAGAGAGAAUAAAGAAAAAUAAUAAUUAAAAUUAUAUAUAUUUAUUUAAAGAAACAUAAAAAAUAAAUUUUUAAUAAAUUAUUUUCGUUCUCACUCUCUUUAAAGAGAGUGAAACACUCUCUUGCCAUAUCAGCAUUCAAGGGGUAAUAAUUUCAUUUUAAAAUAGUUCAGGGGGUCAUAGGAUCCUCGUAAAGUAUAAGUGUGUAGUUGGAAUUUAGGGUAAAGGUUGGGGGAGGGGGGCUUUUGACCAUUUACUCAGUCAAAUAUAUACUUCAUCUAUUCGAUUUUUCUAAUUGCAUUUUCAUUUUGUUCUUUUCACUUCUUAUCAUUAAUUAUUUAUUCUUUAAAUUAUUUUCAAGAUAUAUAUUUUUUUAAACAUUAAUUAAUAAAGAUUACAAUCAUAUAGCUAUAUCAAUAAUUAUUUUUUUAAUAAUGUGUCGUAUCAAAAUGAUAAAGUAAAAACGAAUAAAGGGAGUGGUUUAAAAUAUUUGUGCUCCAACAGUACAGCACAUGCGACACACUCACCUAAAAAGUUUUUAUAAUCACACAAAUAUUAUGACAUAUUUAAAGCCAUAUAUUUAAUAAAUUCUGUAGUCACAAAAACCACAAGUUUGAAAGUGCACUCUGAUCCCAUUGUAUGUAUGUGUUGCAAUUAGCUAUGAGCAUAAAAAUCGAAAUAUCGAACCAAAUUAAAUUAAUUUGGUUUUUCAAUUCUAUAUUUCUAGACUUUGGUUCUCGGUUGUAGAGUUUCAGCGCACCGAAGAAUCAAAUUUUUUUUUUUUACUGAUUUGGGUUCUCCCAAAGUUCAAUAUCGAUCGAUUAGCUGUUCAAUUAAUGACGCCAAGUACUCUGUUCUAAUUUAUAUGAGGUAAUUUGACUUGACACGGAACAUAAAAAAGGAAGAAAGACUUUUGAAACUUAUCAUCUAAAAUAAGUCAUAGAUAUUUGUGUUGCUGUAAAUCAUUUCAGUUUCAAUUCUCUAUAGUGACAAACACUAAGGGGUCGUUUGGUAGAGUGUAUAAGAUAAUUCUGAAUAGGUUGUAUUAGUAAUGCUGGAUUAGUGGUGCAGAGAUUAGUAAUACAGGGAUUAGUAAGACUGGGAUUAUUUUUUAUGCAGUGUUUGGUUUGAUGUAUUGAAAACAAUAUGUAUUGUUAUAUUUUAAAAAGAAUAUUGCUUGUUUACAAAAAUACCCUUUGACAUAUUAUAACUUUGUUAAUUUUCUUUGCAAAACUUUAUUAUUCUUUUAAAAAAUAUAUAUAUAACUAAUUAUUUACUUUGGAAUUUUAAGAUUCAAUCAUUCACUUACAGAUAAUUUUUGGUUAUCUCUUCUUUAUUUGUUCAUCAUUUUUUUAUUGUUUCCACUUUGUGAUGUUCUUACGUUGGAGGGAGAUACGUGUAACUUUUGAAUGAGACAAUAGAAUUAUUAUUAACAUAAAUUUGUGUUGCGUAAAGUGUUAAAGCUAAUUAGAAAAAAUAUUUUUAUUUAUGAAUAUCCUAUUUUCAAAACUAAAGCUUGUAUGCAAUCAUGCAAUUUAUUUUCGAAUUUUGAUCAAUAAGUAUUUUUUAAAUUAAUGGAGUAGUUUUUUUAUGACUAAAAUUAUUUGGAGGGAUAUUAUUAUCUUCAUAAAUUGAAAAGAAAUAACUCAUAUUGAAUAAAUUGAAAAGAUUUAGAAAAAAAAUUAAAGAAAUUUGAGGGCGUUUUUGUCUUGACACAUAUUUGUCCAUGGACUAAUAAUCUCAUCAAAUUGGGUGUAUUAGUUAUACACCCUAUAAUACCAUGUAUGAUAUAUAACUAAUCCAUGUAUUAGUUAUACAUAGCUUCAAAAUUGCUACCAAACAAUGUAUUAAGUAAUCCCAUCAUUUAAUCCAUGGAUUAUUUUCGUAAUUCACCCUACCAAAUGGGAGCUAUCUGAUACCUAUUGCUGGUGGAGUGACACAUAUCCCGUGGAAUUAGUUGAGGUGUGCACAAGCUGACGCUUACAAAAAAUCAUUUCAUUUAAAAUAAGAUAAGUAUUUUACAAUCAAAUUGUUACUAAAUAUAAAAAUAUGAAAAUGUAUCGUUCUUAGCAAAAAGAAAAGUGUGAAUUAGGAAGUAGUAUAUGAUGACAACUCUACAUAAACAUUGGAUAGAUUGUGAUUCACUCAAGGCGCUAACCAUCUCUUGUAUUAGCAUUUAGCGCACUUCAAGAAUCUCUCUCUCUUUUCCCAUUUUUGGGUUCAAGAUUUGGGAGUACAAUAACAUCAUUGCUUUUCCAUAUGUCAUGUUAAUUACUUCUGAUGGAAGAACAUAAUACGUUAUUCUUGGUUCCACUAUCAUCACAACAUUUAGAGUUGCAUUCAUAAUAGAUUCAUAGCAAAUGAAUCAGACUAUCAUAAUGUAUCAGAUGCAUCACGAAAAAAAAUAAAAAAUCGAUGUUACAAUCAAACAAACAAAUGAAAAAAAAAAAAGAGAGAGAAUCGUUUGACUUGAUUGGGUUAUUAAUAUCGAAAUGAAGUCAUCAAUUCGGCUACGAUAUGUUUUUUCUAAAUAAACCAAACUUCAAAAUCACAAUAAUUUAAACGAUAUAACUCUCUCCAGAUUGCACAAUUUUCUUAAAUCGUUCUAUUCGUACUACACGGAUGUAACAAUUGAGCACCUAGAGCAUAUGGUGGUUGUGUUAUAAAUGAUUGAUCAAUCUUUUCUAUGUGCAAACCAUGUAACUCUGUCAAUUUAAAUUUAAAUUUAGAUUAACAAAAUAAUAUAGUUGACAUUCAAGCAACCCUUUCUAGAAAUAAUAAGUCACAAAAUAAUAUAAUUGACACUCAAGCAACCCUCCUAAUAUCCAGGUUGACAUUGAUUAGGGUGGUUAACUGGAGCUAAAAUUAACUCAAGACCUAAAAGUUAUGAAAUUCCAAAUCAUAUUAAUUUACCCUGAUUAAAUAAGAAAUAAAGUUAAAAGAAUAACAGUAGCGCACAAAGCAUUCGUUCAAUGACAUGAACACAAUUGUAUUCAUUGACUUGACUUAAUGUGAACAUCGACUACGUGUAAGAAAACAGAAAGAAUAAUAAUAACGGGACUUUGAAUUAAAAGAGAAAAACAAGUUUUCCAAUUAAGUGAGAGUCCUUCAGAUUUUUAAAAUUAGGUGAAAGGGACAAAAUUUUUUUGAGUUUUUUUUAAAGUUUUUUCGUUCCAACAACUUCUCCCAAUUGUUCGACAACUGUGCGAAGUAGUUGAGACAACUAAUGUAAUUGUCGAACAAACUUCAUUUUUUUAAACCCACUUGUCCCCUUUUUUUCUCAAUAAUAACUGCAGAUGGAAAAACAAAAAGUUGUUAUCGAUAUCAGUAACUUAGCAGGGAAAACAAGAUGGGAGAAAUCAAUGAAACAUUUGAGAAACAGGAGAAAAUAAUAUGGCCUGGCUACAAAAUGCAGCUGAUCAAAGAUGUACAAUGCCCUCUCUCUAUCCAAAAGAAUAGUCAAAAUAGAUAGAAAAGAAAAAGCUAUUUUUAGGAACUUUACAAUAUUUGGAUCUAAAGAACAAUGUGAGCAUCAUAAUCUUUCUAUCAUUCACCUAGAAGGAGUUUCUGAUAGCUGACUAUUCAAUGCAGAACUUGAGGGAAUAGAAGGCAUAGCUCCAUUAUCUUGAGACGAUGAACCGCCCCACCUGGGCUCCGCAUCUGAUGGCUCCAUUACAUGCACCGCGCCAUCACUCAUACCAAGAGCAAAUUGGUUGGAAUCAGAUGGAUGUGCUGCUAUCACCACAGGAAAUGUAGCGCCGCUGCCACUGCUUAAACAAGUGAAAUUCAGAUUAGUUGGCCACAGUACCGAAAGAUUACCCCUAAUACCAGAUAUAGAGUAAAGAGCAUGCCAUUAUUUCAUGUUACGACAUAGAGAGGCUCAUGCCCUAUUCACCAAAUAUAAGCAGAAAUCGCAAGUGCUGACUUUGUUUUACCAAACGUAUUGUACAUUCAGUCGAGAACUUUCUAGCAAGUUAAUCUCCCUCAAAAUUGUCCUCCAUAUAGUGUAAGGUUUUGCGGGGAAAAUGAUCAUUUCUUUUAGAAUUUCAUUUUCCUUUUGAACAAACACAUGCAAGAAAACCAUUUUCCUUAAACUUGCAUACCAUAAUUUUCUAGAGUAAUAUAUUUUCAAGCGAAUAAGUUGGCAUCCAAACAAAGGCAAGUUUCCAAGAGAUCACUAAAGAUCUGGCAUCGGCAUAUUUAGGCAUCAUGGACUAGUAUAUCAUUCAAUGUAAAGAGAGAAAUAUGAUUGGUUUGAUUGAUAGGAAGCCGGGGUGGCUCAAGGGUAAAGCUAGUAAAGCGUCUACUUUAGGCCCCAAAAUUUUGAGGCCCCAAAAAAUUUAAUAUGAAUUUUAUGAUUUUAAUUUCACUUCAAAUAAUAUCAAAGAUUGAAAAAUAUAAAAGGUAUAAAAUUUAAACUUAUAAAAAUAAAGGAAGAACUGUCUAUUGUUUAUUAAAAAUAUUUUAGAACUUUUUAUCAAAUCUUGAUAUUAAUAAAUAAAGUUUUUACAAUAAUAUUCAAGGUAAUGUAUUGCAAACAAAUGACUAAUAUCUUAUUAAUUAAAAUUUGUCCUUACUUUUAUAAAUAAUAAUAUUAGUAUGUUCUAAAAAUACUACACUAAAAAAAGUACGUAAGAAUCAAAAAAAUAUUGAUAAUACUUUUGUUAUGUGCAUAUAUAUAUAUAUAUAUAUAUAUAUAUAUAGGCAUAAUAUUAAAAUUUGGCUUUUAGGCUACUAAUUUUAUUGACACGGGACUUGAUAGGAAGAGCACAUAGAUCUAUUUAACAUGUUUGAUAAAUCUUGCUAUAGGAAACUUACAAGGACGUCUUUUGUUACUACUGAACUUGUGUGCUAUUUGGGUUUUCGGAAAGGGGUUUAACGUUGGUCUUAGGCUUGAGCAAUAAUUAAACUCAGAAUCUCCGAUUUGAGGUACAACCGACUAAGCGCUUUUUAUAAUUUCUCUUUGCAUUUAUGCAAUUUCAGUCCAACCCAGCCCAACCCACUACAGUACUACUUACAUGUGCAGUGCUACCCAUUUCGGAACAAUGAAUCUAUCCAAGCAAAGCAUUACAGUACUACUUACAUGUGCAGUGCUACCCAUUUCGGAACAAUGAAUCUAUCCAAGCAAAGCAUUAAUACCUGCUACAAUGAAUCUAUCCAAGCAAAGCAUUAAUACCUGCUAAUUGAAGAUAAGUAAGCUGGGGGUGCAAUUCUACAUCGAAGUCUGAGACUGUCCGCAUCAAAUAUUCCGAUUGCACCAUCGCAGAAUCCAGUAAAGAUCAGCAGACCAUCGCAAGAGUAUAUAGCACUUGAAAUGGGAGCAGAAAGGGAAUCUCUUGGAUACCACUGCAACCAAUUACCGUUCAAAUCAUUUAUAUUUGAAUAUUUGAACUAGGAAAAGUAAGGAACUUAAAAGGUCAACAUGUCUCGUGUUAUAAUUAAAUAUGAAACAUGAAAGUUCUCUUUUGUGAGCUAUGCCAAGCAAUAUAUAUGCAGCUACACUGCCAAGUAGAAGCAAGAAAUGAAAUAGAAACAAAAAGAGUGAAAAAAUAUCUCAAUACAGCUUAACUCCGUCAAGCCUGGACGAGUGGUGAAGAAGUAUAGAGCACUGGAGGAGUAGUGAAGAAGUAUAGAGCACUUUAGUUGGUUUUUGACCAACGGAAAGCAUGCGAUCAGGGUUGGAUUUGAGUAAUAGACUGACUGUCAAGGAGUGAAAGCAACUUGACUAGUUGAAAAGGGUACUAAAAAGGAACUGCUACCAACUAGGCCAGAAAGAAGACAAACAUGGUAAAAGCAUUAAAAAAUAACUUUUAUAAUGGGAACAAAGAACACAGAAAAUUGCAUUGGUUCCAAGCAAUUUUGGUUUAGCAUUGCCAUAAUAGAUCCUAAGUGCUAAGUGAUUGUCUCCUAUCCAACUCUUGAAAUAUAUCCUAAGUGCUAAGUGAUAUCCUAAGUGCUAAGUGACUGUCUCCUAUUGAACUCUUGAAAUAUGCUGGAAAGUUAACCCAAACAAACAAGAAACAGCAAUAUUUAAAACAUCCAUCCCAAAGAAUGGAUGUGAUACAAUCACAAUUAAAGAUGAUGACAACUUUACAAUAAACACUACCAGGAUUGUCAUCAGUACAAUCACAAUUGAAGAGGUGAUGAGAAUGAUACAUAUACUGAUAAGUGGAAUUUAGUUAACCUAAAACACCUGCUUUAUGAGCAAUCAAUACAAAUUCUAUUUGCACAUUUACUAAUAAAAUACAAUAAAUUCAUGUGAAGACUUACUGAACGUUGACAUUCAAGUUGGGUAUCAUAGAUUCCAAUUUGGCUUUCAUGAACUACUAGUACAUGAGAUUGGUCAUUAUGGAACUGGACUCUAGUUUCUCCAACUAAGGGAGCUUGGUGACCUGGCGGCGCUUGUAUAGGCCUUGCUUUUUUCUUGUCCCAGCCAUCAACACUCCAGAUACAUAGCUGCAUCACAGAACAAGCACCAAAUAUUUUGCUAUUAGCAUGUCAUUGAAAUUUUACAACAUUACUACUAUAGCAUCAACUCUGCAAAGAUGCGACGAAAGCACCAUUGCCCACCCUAAAGAAAUAACAAACUUAACGCAUGCAUAAAUACAAUCCAUAAAUCCAAAUGGUACCAGCAGUGCUGUGCAUUGAAAGGAAAUGAAUGUAGAGAGGUAAAAUUAAUGUAAAGAGGAGAAAAAAACGUCAACAUGCCUGUGCAUCUGCACCUGAAGAUACCAGUACAUUCAAACUCUGUGAAAAUGCAAGGCCUGUGAUCCGUUUCUGGUGACCCUUGAGCUUGAUUUUGACCUAAGAGUGAAAGAUAAAGAAGAAAACACAAAAGAUCCGUUACCACAAAAUUCUAAAGGACAGACAGGAAUAAGGAAAACAGAAAACAAAGUUGUUAAGCAUAAGGCUUAAUGGAAAUGUAAUAAAAUAAGCCUCUUGCUUUGAUAUUGAUGGUCUAUAUAAUCCUGACCUUAAAAAGUAUGUUAAUUUUGAGGUGAGGAGAAGAAACAUGGUUGGUUACUGUAUUAUAUUAAUGAUUAACAGCCAUUUGUCUAAGAAUAAAGAUAAGGGGUCUAUACAUUCACGCUUCCGUCCACUUUUAAUUAAUUGAUAAUGCUGAUGGGGAGAGCACCCAACCCCUCCAUAUUUACUUUCUUCCAAACUGAGUGAAAUGGACCUCAUCCCUCGAGAUUUGCCUCCUCUCAGGCAAUCCUUCCUCUUUACAACCCAAAACUAAACAUAGCAUAAGAACAUUCUUUCAAUUUCAUUAUCUAAACCUUCACUAAAACAAUGAAGCCUAACGUAAACUCAGACUUAUUAGCAGGCAUAUUUGAAGACAAACAUGCAUGCUGAUAUUCCCACCGUGCAUGGCUAAAAUAAGCAUUGUAAAAAAUAGGAGAAAGAGGAGAAGAUGGAAGCUACAUAAUGAAGUUUCAGAAUCAGAAUAAACGGUGACAGAAAAAGAGCAAUACUGUUCCUUCCAAAAUGACAUGUGCAACCUAGGACCACCACACAAAGAAGGAAAAGUACCUCAUCAACCCUAACAUUGUAUAUCUGGAUAGUGGAAUCCUCCAUUCCUACCGCAAUAACAUUGUUAUCUUGAGGAUGAAAUGCCAAAUAGGUGGCUGCAGGGGGUGGAGGCAUGAAAGUUGUCAUCACCUGACCAGAGUUCAUGUGUCAGUCCAGAUUAACCAAUUUAUCAUCGUCAAAGAAGGGACAAGUCAACUUUUUACAUAAUGAUAAAAAUGUUGAUAAACUUCACGUUCAAGAACUAGACGAGAUCUUCGUCCACUCCUUUUCCUAGGGAGGGUCAACAAACCUUGAAGGUCAUCAUGUUAAACAAGGACACCUUCCCUCCAGAAGCAGACAUGACGUAAGAAUCAUUUUUAGAUAAAGCAAUACAUGCAGCGGCAUCUUCAGCUGAUUUUGCAUCACCGACAUCAUUAGACAUGAGUGCUCCAUUUGCCGGCAGCCACAGUUGUGGAGAAACUGCCGCUGAGGACUGAAAGAAAGAAGUAAGGAAAGCAAACCAAUCAGAAUUUUCUGAAAAGAACUACUGAGAAUUAGAUCUGAGCCAUAUGGAUACUCCAACUUAACCUUUCCAGAUGGAUUUCGCUCAUUUCUCUGCCAUUUCCAGAGCUUAUGAAUGGCAUUAGAGCCCAGUGCCAGGACAGCAAGCCCAGAGUUUGUAUAGAGCAGCCGCAACACCUGCCACCAUUACAACAAAUAUCUUUAGGUUGCUGACAAAGACUGUUAAUCGAAGAAGCAUUUUGUGCCUCAACAAUACAAUAGCAACAAUUCAUAUUCCACCAAGAAAGACAUAAACAUGCAGCAGGAGAUUCAACAACAGUAUCCAGGAACAAUAAAGAGUUGUGAAAGACCUCAUAGAGCAAGCAAAAGAAUGGCAUAUCUGAUAAUACAAGCUAUAAAUGAGGUGGUCAAACAAUUCAACGGUAUUAGAGCAAACAGAGAACCUAGGUUCAAGUUUCUCUGUCACCCUUCAUCAAAAAAGAGUUUCCAGGUACUUUUGCCGAGAAAAAGGAUCAAACCCGCACAUGAGAGCGUAUUCGAGAUAUAAGCAAAUAAAAUAGUCUUUUCUAAACUUUUUAUAUGAGGUAGUUACACAAUUCAAUUCAACAAGGAUUAUGACAAACGAUGCCACAAAAUUUAAUCUUCAAAAGAGAACCUAACACAAGCAAGUGAAACUAAAAAUGUAGAUGAAGUUUUCUAACAACCUUGCUGGCUGACUGAGGGUCUGGCAACUUUAGCGUUUUAAGUUGAGAUGAGUCGGUAAUAUCAGAGAAUUUCCAGCUUUUAAUCUUGUUCAUAUUUUCCGCAAUUUUAGGUUUCACGUCGGGAACUCUGCUGCUUUCCAUAGUGGCCUAUUGAUACAACAAGCAGGCUAAGUAAAAUACAAUAGAAUCAUACUUCAAACGACAAGAUCAGGAAGCACCAUGCAUUCCCCUGUCAAAGGUGAUAAAGAGGGGGAGGGGGAGAUCAUGGCAGAUAACAUACCAGAUUGCCGAUAGACAUUGAUUGCUGAGUUCUAUCACUCCGUUCAAUGAUUUGAGGUGCCGAGCCAGAUAUAUUAGGAAUUGGACCUAAGGAACCAGCAAUUGGUGGCUGCACAGUGAAUCAAUUUAAAGACAACCAUCAACUGGCGGUAUGAAUAUGACAAUUUAAAUUAGUUAAGGGCCUUGUGUAGUAAGAAACCAUAACUGCCCAAAUGAGGAGCAAUAGUACCUUAACAUUGACAUCAGAAAACGCACGUGAACCCUCAAAUGCCCUACUCUCCAGCAUCCUCAGCAUUCGCUGCCCAUCAGUAUUUGCCAGAACCUUGAUUCCAUUAUCACUCGUCGUGACAGCCAGCAAAGAGCCUUCCUUAUUGAAUCUUAGUCUCGGACUGGCCUGAAAAGGAAAAUGGAGUUCAAAAAUUAUCAAUUUCAAUAUUGAUGAUCAAGCAAAUGAAUUCAAGUAACAGAAAUACUAACAGGCAAUCCACCAUCGCCAUCAGUAUACGUAAGCAUGUUGGUAUUAUCCAUUUCCCAAAACUUUAUCUGGAACUCAUCACCUGCAGCUAAGAAACGAUUUCUCGUUGUGUCAAACUGCACUACACCUAAUGAUCGCUUUCUAAAGCCAGAGAAUGUCCUCUUGAUUGCUCCUUCACUCUCAUUCCACUCUACAAGGUGGGAUUCACCUUCUUUACUUGUACCACAAGAGAAAAGUCUGAAAGAAGAUCAGAAAAGUUAAAAAUGACUAGAUAUAAAAUCAAAUGCAAACAAGUUUGUCUUGCUUCUCAAAAAAGUUCGUCUUCUUUCAGACAUCAAUCAUAAAAUCGCGUAGGCCUCUUUACAAUUCAUUUUUCUACCUUCAAUAAGCACCAUUAAAUCAUUCACUAUUGCUGCCAUAUCUUUUAUCCUGGCACCUUUUGAGUAUAAAACUCACCCUAACGAGUCCUCCUCCAACGGCGUCAUAUUUUGCCUUAGGGAGUGUGCAUAACUUUAGCCCUUUUUUAUUUUUUGGCCAACGGUAUGUUUGAUAGAGUGCCAAAGAAGGUUGUUAGAGAGAGCACACUUUUAUUUAUUUAAAAAUGUUUUUCAACACACCAUCUCAAGUCCGUCUUAAUCUUUUUUCACGAAUCAACAACAACAACAACAACAAAAAACCCAGUGUAUUCCCACUUAGUGGGGUCUGGGGGGGGGUAAGAUGUACGCAGUCCAUACCUCUACCUCUGAUGAAGUAGAAAGGCUGUUUCCGAAAGACCCCCGGCUCAAGUCACGAGAUAUCACACAAACCCAUAGUACAGCACAGAAGCAGAUGACAUAACAUAAAUACGGCACCCAUAAGGAAUAUAAAACAGAGGAAAGCAGAGGAAAGCACACAGAUUCGUAAUAAACAUGGAACACGGAACACGAAACACUGAAUACGGAAUCAUAACAGGAAUACACCCCCACCAAUUAAUUCCCUACACUAGCGACCCGAACUGGCCCUAAUCCUCUGCCGUAAUUCGCAUCUUCCAGACCUUCCUAUCUAGGGUCAUGUCCUCGGUGAGCUGUAACUGUUCCAUGUCCCGCCUAAUCACCUCACCCUAGUACUUCUUCGGUCUACCCCUUCCCCGUCUAAAACCAUCCAACGCUAGCCUCUCACACCUACGGACCGGGGCAUCCAUGCCCCUCCUCUUCACGUGUCCGAACCAUCUCAAUCGUGCUUCCCGCAUCUUACACUCCACUGAAGUCCCACCAACCUUCUUCCGGAUAGUCUCAUUCCGAACUCUAUCCGCUCUUGUCAGUCCACACAUCCAGCGCAACAUCCGCAUUUCUGCCACCUUCAUUUUUUGGAUGUGGGAGUUCUUAACUGGCCAACACUCCGCUCCAUACAGCAAGGCCGGACGGACUACCACCCUAUAGAAUUUGCCUUUAAG